rnacentral:rRNA from 1 species
AUUGAACGCUAGCGGGAUGCUUUACACAUGCAAGUCGAACGAGUGGCGGACGGGUGAGUAAUAUAUCGGAACGUGCCCAGUAGCGGGGGAUAACUACUCGAAAGGGUGGCUAAUACCGCAUACUAUCGGAGCGGCCGAUAUCGGAUUAGCUAGUUGGUGGGGUAACGGCUCACCUAGGCAACGAUCCGUAGCUGGUCUGAGAGGACGACCAGCCACACUGGGACUGAGACACGGCCCAGACUCCUACGGGAGGCAGCAGUGGGGAAUUUUGGACAAUGGGGGAAACCCUGAUCCAGCCAUCCCGCGUGUAUGAGAAGGCCUUCGGGUUGUAAAGUACUUUUAGCAGAGAAGCGGUAUCUGCAGAAUAAGCACCGGCUAACUACGUGCCAGCAGCCGCGGUAAUUC